GCGCAGCAGGCGAGAAAACUUCACACUGUGCGAAAGCACGAUGAGGGAAUCCCAAGUGCUUGCACGUAAGUGUAAGCUGUUUCUCUGUCUAAAACGCAGAGAGAGUAAGGGCUGGGUAAGACGGGUGCCAGCCGCCGCGGUAAUACCUGCAGCUCAAGUGGUGACCGUUAUUAUUGGGCCUAAAACGUCCGUAGCCGGUUUAAUAAAUGCCUGGGUAAAUUGUGUAGCUUAACUAUACGAAUUCCGGGUAGACUGUUAAACUUGAGACCGGGAGAAGUUAGAGGUACUCCUGGGGUAGAGGUGAAAUUCUGUAAUCCUAGGGGGACCACCAGUGGCGAAGGCGCCUAACUAGAACGGGUCUGACGGUGAGGGACGAAGCCCUGGGGCGCAAACGGGAUUAGAUACCCGGUA
rnacentral:rRNA from 1 species